UUGGUUGGGGGGGCGCUGCCCCGUGGGCAAAUCUACAGCUUGCCG
rnacentral:tRNA from 1 species